rnacentral:rRNA from 1 species
UACGUAGGGUGCAAGCGUUGUCCGGAAUUAUUGGGCGUAAAGAGCUUGUAGGCGGUUUGUCGCGUCUGCUGUGAAAUUUCGGGGCUCAACCCCGAACUUGCAGUGGGUACGGGCAGACUAGAGUGUGGUAGGGGAGACUGGAAUUCCUGGUGUAGCGGUGAAAUGCGCAGAUAUCUGGAGGAACACCGGUGGCGAAGGCGGCAUCCUGGACCGAAAUUGACGCUGAUGCGCGAAAGCCAGGGGAGCAACAGG